CCUGAGAGAUCUAAUCAGAAAUCCUCAGGUAGUGUGAAGUCAACCUGAGAGAUCUAAUCACAAAUCCAUAGGUAGUGUGAAGUCAAUCUGAGAGAUCUAAUCACAAAUCCAUAGGUAGUGUGAAGUCAACCUGAGAGAUCUAAUCACAAAUCCAUAGGUAGUGUGAAGUCAACCUGAGAGAUCUAAUCACAAAUCCUCAGGUAGUGUGAAGUCAACCUGAGAGAUCUAAUCACAAAUCCUCAGGUAGUGUGAAGUCAACCUGAGAGAUCUAAUCACAAAUCCUCAGGUAGUGUGAAGUCAACCUGAGAAAUCUAAUCACAAAUCCAUAGGUAGUGUGAAGUCAACCUGAGAGAUCUAAUCACAAAUCCUCAGGUAGUGUGAAGUCAACCUG